rnacentral:rRNA from 1 species
AUGGUGGUUACUUCAAUCGGUGGCACAAUGAUAUUUCUAGUCAUGCUUCUGUUUGGAGGUUUCAUAAUUCCUCGCCCACUUCUGCCUAAUUGGCUAAAAUGGGGAUUUUGGCUAUCUCCAUUGUCUUAUGGUGAGAUAGGCUUAACUGGAAAUGAGUUUUUGGCACCAAGAUGGUUAAAGAUCACGUUAUCUGGUGUAACACUCGGAAGGAGGAUACUAAUGGAUCAAGGGCUAGACUUCUCCAGCUACUUCUACUGGAUCUCAGUUGGAGCAUUGAUUGGGUUUACUUUGUUAUUCAAUGUAGGCUUUGCCAUCGGCUUGACCAUUAAAAACAUUCCAGGAUCUUCUCGUGCUAUCAUCUCUCGCAAUAAUCUUGCCACAUUUAGUGGAAGAAACCAAGAUAAGGAUCCAGAAAAUGGGAUGCCUAACUUACAAGCAGAAACUGCUUUGACACCCAAUAGGACUAGGAGGAUGGUAUUGCCUUUCACACCCCUUACAAUAUCAUUCCAAGACGUCAACUACUAUGUAGACACCCCCGCCGAAAUGAGGGAGCAUGGUUAUAUGAAAAGAAAACUACAACUACUGCACAAUAUCACAGGAGCAUUUCAGCCAAGGAUUCUCUCGGCGCUUAUGGGGGUUACUGGAGCGGGAAAAACAACACUCCUUGAUGUUCUUGCUGGAAGGAAAACGGGUGGUGUUAUUGAAGGGGAUAUAAGGAUAGGAGGUUAUCCUAAGAUCCAGCAAACUUUUGCUAGGAUAUCAGGCUACUGUGAACAGACUGAUGUUCAUUCCCCACAAAUCACAGUGGGUGAAUCAGUUGCAUAUUCAGCCUGGUUGCGCCUUCCACCAGAAAUUGAUUCAAAAGCAAGAAAUGAGUUUGUCAAUGAAGUUCUUGAAACAAUUGAGUUAGAUGAAAUUAGAGAUUCUUUGGUUGGAAUAUCAGGGGUAAAUGGACUAUCGACAGAGCAACGGAAACGGCUCACUAUUGCAGUCGAGCUUGUGUCUAACCCUUCAAUCAUAUUCAUGGAUGAGCCAACAUCAGGCUUGGAUGCAAGGGCAACUGCUAUUGUCAUGCGUGCAGUCAAGAAUGUUGCCGAUACAGGUCGAACAGUUGUGUGCACCAUUCACCAACCAAGUAUCGAUAUAUUUGAGGCAUUUGAUGAGUUGAUGCUGAUGAAAAGGGGUGGAGAGUUGAUCUAUGCUGGGCCAGUUGGGCACCAUUCAUGUGAGGUCAUCAAAUAUUUCCAGGCAAUACCUGGGGUUCCCAGGAUCAAGGAAAAGUAUAACCCAUCAACAUGGAUGCUAGAAGUUACUUCCACAUCUAUGGAAGUUCAACUGGGAGCAGAUUUUGCACAAAUGUACAGGGAAUCAUCAAUGUGGAAGGACAAGGACAUGGUGGUAAAGCGGUUAAGCACACCAGUUCCAGGUACAACCGACCUCCAUUUCGCGACCCAGUUUCCACAGAAGUUUCGGGAGCAAUUCAAAGCUUGCCUCUGGAAACAGUGUUUGUCGUAUUGGAGAACCCCUUCCUACAACCUGGUGCGAUUUGUGUUCAUAACAUUCUCCUGCUUUUUCUUUGGUGCACUGUUCUGGCAGCAAGGCAACAUCAACCACAUGUAUGUAAACCAUCUCUUGAUUAUGUAUCUUAACUCAUGCAUAUAUGGUGGAAGCGUAUGA